GCAGCAUUGCAGAAGGGAGGAGGUGGAGAUUCUGUCCUCAGUGCCUAGGGCCCUGCCUGGAUCUGGUUUUGCAGAGGGGAGGACGUAGAGAUUCUGUCCUCAGUGCCCAGGGCCCUGCCUGGAUCUGGUUUUGCAGAGGGGAGGACGUAGAGAUUCUGUCCUCAGCGCCCAGGGCCCUGCCUGGAUCUGGUUUUGCAGCUCCAGGGGAAACGUUUUGCACAAAUUCUCACUGGGAGCAUUAUCAGGGCUGCAGCACUUCAGUCUCUCCUGAUCUGAAUCCUUUUAACAUUAGCUGUGAUGCUGAGAAGGAUGAAAUUGAUGACACCAACAUCUGGUGGAAGACAAAAACCAGAGGGAUUUCCACCCAGGCAGAGCCCCUCCGCAGGCCUCCCCUCUUUGUGGCCUGAGGUCGGAGAGGCCUCUGGAGCAAGCCAGCGGAUGGAAUUCUCAGUUUUCUUCCAUUUGAUUAUUUUCCUAUUUUGACGUCUUUGAAAAAUGGCUCAGCCUUAUGGUGCAUGCGUUUUCUGAUUGCUUUUGUCUUUGUUUUAUUCUGAAUCAAGGACCGUGGCCACUGUGGGCUCCUCAUCCAGGACGUGGGGGCCCUCCGGGGCCUCAGUCCAUCCAUGCUGCAGUACAUGGUGAUUCUCAUGCAGAGGAUGAUCUCAGGGAUCAGCUUGAGCUGGCAGAGAAUUAAAUUAUAUGGUUUAUAAGAGUCCUGCCUCAGGGUCAGUGACACCAGGCCUGUCUCUGCUGCUAGCAAGGCCGACUUUCUUAUGUGCUGUCAUCGUGGUAAAAGCCUUGCCCACGUGAUGAAGACCCUGGACGGCUCUACUUGAGACAGAUUUCAGCUACGUUGCCUGGGAGUCUCUGGUACUUCUUCAAGGUUCUACUGAAGACAAUGACGUCAUCCAAGUACCUUGCAGUGCCUAAGUAGCUCUUGCCGCGGGAGCUCUGAGACCCCCUGUUAUCUAUUUUCGAAUUGGCCAAGGACCCCCGGCCAGGCAGGGGAUGCUCUGCCCAUCCUCGUCAGCCCUCGUGUCUUGUGAUCCUCCCCCAGCCUCCUGGCAAGCAUCCCUGUGCUUUCCGCGGGUGAGCGUGGCUGAGCUCAGUCUCGCUUACUACAACGGCAGGCACGAGGUCUGCGGAACUAAGAAGGCUCCUCUUUGCUCACUGGCCUUUCCUUUAAGUCCCUGGUCACUAACCUCUGGCAAGACAAUCCUUCUUGUGUUUUCUGGCGAUGGACUUGAGUGAUUACAAUGUGCCCUAGAGAGGACAGAUGCAUGGCUGUGGAGUCUUGUUCUGUGAUAUGUCAGGUAUGUGCUUGGGCGCGCGGAGGCUGCAGGAGGUGGACAGGAAUGGUCUUUCUCUUGCUCUGAGUCGCAUGUGUGGGCCAGCCCACGGGUUCUGUGGAGGAGAAUCCAGCUGCCCACCUGGCUGAGUCUAGCCCUGGGCUGGCGAUGGCCGAACCCCAGUUCCAUUCCCGGACCUUCCCUAGGCUGCUGGGUGGGUUCCCUGGCCACUGUCGCUGGGCUAAUCCAUUCUAUCUUCUCCUGGGGCGAGGCCAUUGCCGUGCUGUGCUGGUGCUGGCUCUUCAGGCAGCUCUUCAGCUCCGUGGCUCCCGGCCCAGCCCAGGCCUAACACAGGCCUGUCCCUAGUGUUCGUGCACUGAGCUUUGUGUCUAUUGCUGGUUUUUCUUUUCUUUUAAAACUUACUUCGCAGAAGGAAUUCGGCCUGAGCAGCUGAGCUUCCGUGGUAGCCUCUCCUGCUCAAAGCCGUCGUUUGCUCCCAUAUACCUGGCCUGCCAGUUUCCAUUCUCUCUUUCCCUUGUUUCAUCUUUUCUGCAGUAGGUCCUCUAGUUUCAACCACAGGUGUUUACAGUGUUGCAGUUUUAAUUUGUCGUUGUUGCAUUUAGUUUACUUGACGCACGUUCAAAACUGCAAAAUGCUGGUUCCUACCCGUCUCUGAUGUCACCAAAGGCUGCCCAGAGGCCUGCAGCACAUUGACGAUGGUCUUAGUAUUACACAGCUGUCUGACCAGUACCACAAAUCCAGAGUCCAAGCAGCUCAGGUUUGCCUUCUCCCUGUCUGUGUGGGUCCAGCGCCCUGGGCUCAGCAGGGCCUCCUGCUCCUGCUCCUGUAGGGUGGGCUGGGCCUUCCCACACGGGCCUGGGGAGGAGCCUCUCCUAGGUGCUGGCAGGGCCCUGGCCUUUACUUAUUCCCUCUGAUGCCAGCCAGCUACUGCAGCCCUGGUGGCGUCUCCCUGGGGGUGCCCGGGUGCAGGUGUCCGCUGCCGGGCCGUGGGUGUCUCAUUCUGUGUCCGGACCUCUCUGUGAUGUGAACCUUGGGCUUUUUUUUUUUUUUUUUUUUUUUUUCAGAUGUUAAGGGAGUCCACCACAUGUUUCCAUGGUAACGGCUCCUUUUCCUGGUUUACUGGAGGGUUCUGACGGUCAAGGCCUCCUGUGUAUUGACUGGGUUAUCGCCUGGGGGUUUUAUUGCUUUGUCUUUUACAUUUAGUUUUACUGUUCCUGGAACUGAAUUUGUUUGUGAUGUGAGUCAGAAAUCCUGUCACAUUUUUCCACGUGGAUAUCCAGGGCCCCCGCCGUUUGUGGGAAGGCCGCACCUUCUGCCCGCUCUGCUGUCCAUCCGCGUGCCCAUCUCCAUGGGUUUCUCUCUGCACGGCUUGUUCUGUCCUGCAUGUCCAUCCUUGAGAUCGUUUUUCUCUGGCUUAAUGAUUACAGCUGUACGGUGAGUCUACAGUUAUUCCAAGUUUAUUUAGACAAGAUUUUCUUAACCUUGUAAAUUAUUCUAGGGUUUUUUAUAUUAUUAUUAAACCCAUAGGACUCUUUGGUGAAAACUGACAUAGUUAAAAUGGUUGAGUCUUUCAGUUCAAUUAGGUCUUUCUUUUCUGUAAUAUUUUCUGGACUUCUCCAUUCAAGUCUCAUGCAUUUUUUUGUUAGGAGUGUUGCUAAGAUUUAACUUUUCUAACCCACUGUAAAAGUGUUACCAGGGGGUCCUUGCUCCCAGAACUCCUAAGAUGGUGGCAGGUCGCUUCCAAAAUGGCGGCGGCCCACUUCCAAGAUGGUGGCAAGCCUACUGUUCUCUGACCUGGGGUUCUUGGCCUCACGGAUUCCAAGGAAUGGAAUCUUGGGCCAUCCGGUGAGUGUUACAGCUCUAUUAGAAGCCGUGGGUCACGGAAGAGAACCAUGGAACCCAGUGACUAGUGUUCAGCUCAAUUAGGACGAACUGAGGCACUUAGCCAUGCAGAAACAAUGGCAAGACCUUAGCCUGAUCCAUCGGGAGUGGCAAUGGGCGCCUCGCUGGAUCAGGAGCACAGCGGACACCCUGCCGGCUCUGGAGAGAUGGAAGUCAGCGGCGGGUCUACGACGGCAGCAAACAGCAGUGGUGGAGGGCGAGCGAAAGCUCAGCUCCAGCCGUAACAAACACGGACCAGAAGAGUGCAGUUGCAAGAUUUAAUAGAGUGAAAUAGAGUGAAAACAGAGCUCCCAUACAAAGGAAGGGGACCCAAAGAGGGUAGCCAUUGCCAGCUCCAAUGCCUGGGUUUAUAUCCCAAUCACUGUCCCUCCCGCUGUGCUCUCAGGCAGUAGAUGAUUGGCUAUUUCUUUACCUCCUGUUUUUGCCUUAUUAGCAUUUUAGUGAGCUCUGUGAUUGGUCAGGUGUGAGCUAAGUUGCAAGCCUGGUGUUUAAAGGUGGAUGUGGUCACCUUCUCAGCUAGGCUUAGGGAUUCUUAGCCUAGGAAAUCCAGCUAGUCCUGUCUCUCAAAAGUAUCUUUUACAUUUUAUUUUCUAAUUGUUUAUUGCUUGUAUGUUAAAAUAAAGUGAAUAUUUAUGUUGAUUUUUAUUCAGCAUCUUGUUAAAAUUCAGUUGACUUUACAAAUUCAUUUUCAUACUUUAUUGUAUACUUUAUAUAUACAAUCAUGUGAUCUGUGUAUAAAGGUGGGUUUUUAUAUUUCUCUCCAAUUCUUACACAUUUUCUGUUGUUCCAGUUUCAUUUUCAUGGCUGGGAUCUGCAGGACGAGCUUACAUAUAGGUAAUGAUAAUGGACUUCCUUGCUUCAUUUUCCAUCUCAGGAUGGACAGUGUUCAACCUUCUAUGACUAAUUACAGCCAUGCUGUAGGCUUUUCAUAGAUACCCUUUUUUUUUGACUCAGGAAUUACAUUCUCUUCUUAUUCCUGGUUUGCUAAACCUUUUGUAUUAAUGGUGUCAACUAUGAAUAUAUAUUGCAUUUCAUCAAAUACUUUUUUUCUGCAUCAAUCAAUACGAUUUAUCUUUCUUCUGUUAAUAUGGUGAUUUACAUUAAUUUGUCUUAGAAUGUUCAUUUCUUUCAGGUCCUUGCUGAUUUUUUUGCCUGCCUUUUCCAUUAGUUCCUGAGACAAGCAUUUUAAAACCAAACAACAUAACUGAGGAGCUGUCUGUCACCCUUCGUGAUUCUGAAAACACGUGCUGCAUGUGUUUUGAGGUUGUUAUUUGGAGCAUGUGCAUUUACAAUUGUCUUACUGCCUUUGCAGUUUGAGUUUUUAUUAAAUGUUUCUCUUCAUCUCUGGUCAUGCUUUAUGCCGUAGAGUCUGUUAUUAGCAGAGCUACUCCAGGUUUAUUUUUCAUGAUAUUAUUUUCACUUCUUUUUACUUUCCAACUUUUAUAUCAUUAUGUUGAAGGUAUCUCUUUUGUUAAUCACAUAGUUGCAUUGUGUUUUCUUUUUUCAAAUAUGUAUGAGCAGCAUAAAAUUGGAUGUUCCUUUGAAACAACAGCAGUCAGAAGUCCAUGAGGAGGUGUCUUCUGACUGCGAGGAUAAGGGUGGAUCACCUUAAUGCAAUCAGGGAAUGAUGUGUUAGAAGCAUCUAUAGUUCCUGCUUCCCCUAAUUUCUAGCUGUAGCCAUUUGAAGAUUCUAAGCAAGUCCUCAACUGUUCAGCAGAGCCUCUGGUCCAGCAUGAGACCAAAACCCAGGCUCCCAGUUUCUCCGCCUGUGCUGAGACCUUGUUUCCCAGGACCUCGGUGGACUUGGCUUUCAUGACUGGUGCCUCACCCCAGCACAUGUGCCUAAAAUAACAGAAAAAUACAGUGCCUGCAUGUUGGGAGCAAGCCCCCCAAAGUCUGGCCCCAAAACUGGCCAUAAAUAAAAUCUCUGCAGCAAUGUAACAUGUCCAUAAUGGCCAUAAAGCCCAAGCUGGAAGGUUGUGGGUUUACAGGAAUGACGGUAAGGAACACCUGGCCCGCUCAGGGCGGAAAACUGGUUAAAGGCAUUUUUAAGCCAUAAACAAUUAGCCUGAGCGAUCUGUGCCUUAAGGGCGUGUUCCUGCUGCAAUUAAUUCAGCCCAUCCCUUCGUUUCCCUUAAGGGAUACUUUCAGUUAAUUUAAUAUCCAUAGAAACAAUGCUAAUGACUGGUUUGCUGUUAAUAAAUAUGUGGGUAAAUCUCUGUUCGGGGCUCUCAGCUCUGAAGGCUGUGAGACCCCUGAUAUCCCACUUUACACCUCUGUAU
rnacentral:lncRNA from 1 species